UACGUAGGGACCAAGCGUUGUCCGGAAUCAUUGGGCGUAAAGAGCGUGUAGGCGGCUUGUUAAGUCUUGCGUGAAAUCUCGGGGCUCAACCCCGAGCGGUCGUGAGAAACUGGCAGGCUAGAGUGCGGGAGAGGAGAGUGGAAUUCCUGGUGUAGCGGUGAAAUGCGCAGAUAUCAGGAAGAACACCCGUGGCGAAGGCGGCUCUCUGGAACGCAACUGACGCUGAUGCACGAAAGCUAGGGGAGCAAACAGG
rnacentral:rRNA from 1 species